rnacentral:rRNA from 1 species
GAUGAACGCUGGCGGCGUGCCUAAUACAUGCAAGUCGAGCGAAGCGGGGACGGGUGAGUAACACGUGGAUAACCUCCUAUAAGACUGGGAUAACUUCGGGAAACCGGAGCUAAACCGGUUAUUUAUGGAUGGAUCCGCGGUGCAUUAGCUAGUUGUUAAGGUAACGGCUUACAAAGGCAACGAGGCAUAGCCGACCUGAGAGGGUGAUCGGCCACACUGGAACUGAGACACGGUCCAGACUCCUACGGGAGGCAGCAGUAGGGAAGCUGCCGCAAUGGGCGAAAGCCUGACGGAGCAACGCCGCGUGAGUGAUGAAGGUCUUCGGAUCGUAAAACUCUGUUAGUAGGGAAGCGGUACCUAAUCAGAAAGCCACGGCUAACUACGUGCCAGCCGCCGCGGUAAUUC